CCUACGGGAGGCAGCAGUAAGGAAUAUUGGUCAAUGGACGAAAGUCUGAACCAGCCAUGCCGCGUGAAGGAUGAAGGCCCUCUGGGUUGUAAACUUCUUUUAUCUGGGACGAAAAAAGCUCAUUCUUGAGCACUUGACGGUACCAGAGGAAUAAGCACCGGCUAACUCCGUGCCAGCAGCCGCGGUAAUACGGAGGGUGCAAGCGUUAUCCGGAUUCACUGGGUUUAAAGGGUGCGUAGGUGGGUCUGUAAGUCAGUGGUGAAAUCUCCGAGCUUAACUCGGAAACUGCCAUUGAUACUAUAGGUCUUGAAUCAUCUGGAGGUAAGCGGAAUAUGUCAUGUAGCGGUGAAAUGCUUAGAUAUGACAUAGAACACCAAUUGCGAAGGCAGCUUACUACGGGUGUAUUGACACUGAGGCACGAAAGCGUGGGGAUCAAACAGGAUUAGAUACCCUGGUAGUCCACGCCCUAAACGAUGGAUACUCGACAUCAGCGAUACACUGUUGGUGUCUGAGCGAAAGCAUUAAGUAUCCCACCUGGGAAGUACGACCGCAAGGUUGAAACUCAAAGGAAUUGACGG
rnacentral:rRNA from 1 species